GAUGAGCAUGCGUCCCAUUAGCUAGUUGGUAAGGUAACGGCUUACCAAGGCAACGAUGGGUAGGGGUCCUGAGAGGGAGAUCCCCCACACUGGUACUGAGACACGGACCAGACUCCUACGGGAGGCAGCAGUGAGGAAUAUUGGUCAAUGGGCGCAAGCCUGAACCAGCCAUGCCGCGUGCAGGAUGACGGUCCUAUGGAUUGUAAACUGCUUUUGCACAGGAAGAAACACUGAUUCGUGAAUCAGCUUGACGGUACUGUGAGAAUAAGGAUCGGCUAACUCCGUGCCAGCAGCCGCGGUAAUACGGAGGAUCCAAGCGUUAUCCGGAAUCAUUGGGUUUAAAGGGUCCGUAGGCGGUUUGGUAAGUCAGUGGUGAAAGCCCAUCGCUCAACGGUGGAACGGCCAUUGAUACUGCUAAACUUGAAUUAUUAGGAAGUAACUAGAAUAUGUAGUGUAGCGGUGAAAUGCUUAGAGAUUACAUGGAAUACCNAUUGC
rnacentral:rRNA from 1 species